UUAGAACAUCAGAAAAUGACUUUUCCUAUGUAAGACCUCACCUCAAACCCUUUAAAAAAAAUUUUUUUUUUUAUUAUCAGUAAGUCACUUCCAAACUCUCUCCCUCUGUGAAUAAGUUCAGUCAAUCUAACUCCAGCCAUAUUUAUUUGGAAUAUAUUAAGUGCCUGACAGUACUCGAGCAGAACUCCAUCUCACAGUUAUGUUUUUUAGUAAAAGUCACUAAGACAAUAUUUAAUAUAUUUGGGCACCUUUCCUUUGCAGUUAUUUGGUCCUGAUGUCACAGAAAAAUGGAUUUUCCCACCCUUACAUUCUCACCUUGGAUGGGUUUACAGCCCUUGAUCAAAGAGACUCAAUCACAGGUCAUGUACCCACACCUUGGAUGCAAAGGAGCUGGGGAAAGCAAGCAUCUGGAAUUUUCAGUUUCUGUAACUUUAGGGAAGCUCUGCCUCCCAUGAAGACUCAAGAGGAUGGGAAUUUCUCAAACUGAAGAGGAGCAUUCAGAUGCAAACAGCCCGAGUAAUGACAAUGUAAUACUACAAAGUUUUACCCAUAAUGACUAAAAUGUCUAUCAAACUAAUAAGCUAUCACUUGAUCUUACUGGAAGUUUCUAGAAGUGUCUCAAUACCGGAAUAAUUUUUUACUACUUCUUACCUUCUCUAACAACUGAGAGCUAAAUGCUUCCUAAUAUUUGGAAAGAAUUGCAUUACAGGGUAUGUAGCUCAAUGAUUUGAGAAAUUUAAUACUAGAAAAAGUUAAUUUUCUCCUUUGAAAAUGAAAUCAUAUAAUUCACCUAGAUAGUAGUUUUGUAUGUGGGCUUUAGAAUCUGCCUGGCUUAUCUGCUUUCCCACCUGUGUCCUUGGACAAGUGAAUUGUCUCUGCCCCAGUUUCCUCUCUGCCUCAGUUUCCUCAUCUGUAAAAUGUGGUGAUGAUGCCUAUGAUGAAAAGAUGAUGUAAGGAUUAUGCGAGAUACUACAAGAGUUUAAAACAAUAUGUGGGACCUAGAGAGAGCUCAAUAAAUGUUCUGUUUUAUCAGAACAUAUAUGCAGUGUUGCAACAUGAAGCCUCUUUUUAACAAUCUUACUGUAAUUUCCAUAGUUUACCUUGAUUCUGUUUCAUUUCAUUAAUGGGUGACCUUCAACUAUAUGGAAAGGCCAAUCAUCUGAUACUUUUGCUAUAACGAGAGAAAAGAGAAGAGACUAUUUUAUCCUUUAAGAAAGGUAAGUGUAGACCAUUCCACUUAUAGUGAAAGUAAUGGUUUUAUAACAAUGAUUUUUUUUUUAGACAGGAUCUUGCUCUGUUGCCCAGGUUAAGUGCAGUGGUAUGAUCAUAGCUUAUUGCAGCCCCAGCCACCACCUGUGCUCAAACAGUCCUCCCCGUCAGCCUCCUGAGUAGCUGGGACUACAAGCAUGUACCAUCAUGCCUGAUAAUUUUUUUUUUGGUAGAGAAAAGAUCUCACUAUGUUGCCCAGGUUGGUCUCGAACUCCUAGCCUUAAGCAAUCCUCCCACCUCAGCCUCCCAGAUCACCUGGACUAGAGGCCUAAGCCACCAUGCCCAGCCCAUUAACAAUGCUUUUUUUUUCACAAAGUUACAGGCAAAAGGCAAGGAAGAUAUCUUUCUAAAGAUUAGGUUGGACAAAAUAAUGUAUAACAUUAGCUGUACCUGCUCUCAGUAUAAAUUUUACCCUCUAGAUUGCUAAUUGACAUGGUAUAGAAACAUCUCAACAUCAGUCUCAAUGUGAAAUACCUUUGAUGACACCUCAUACUUUGUAUUCUCCUACAGAGUAAGCUCCUUGAGGGCCAAGUUCAUGUGCUCCAUAAAAAUCAAUCUAAAUGAAAAGCCGUAAUAUAAGGACUGGAUGAUAGCACAUGCCUAGUAGUAUACAGAGUAUUUUUCAUAACAGAGAACAUACAGGACUUAGUCAACAUCUACAUAGAGGUUGUUUUCUAGGAAUCAAAUGAAAGCCUAGGUCAUUGUCACCAUUUGAUUGUUCAUUAUAUGUGUACUAAAUUUCUUAUCUGAGCCAGGCACUGAGGGCUAUGCCAGGAUAAAUGAGACCUGAUCCUGCCUUUCAGAGUUUACAGACUAAGGGAAGACUAAUCAAAUAUACCAAAUAUUUAUAUUUCAUAUUUGUAAUAACAAGUUAAAAAGUGAUUACUGCUCCAAAAUAUUUAAGUAAAAUAUUUUAAGAGGUAAGAGGAGAGAUAAAUUAUUCCUACUAAACGCAUUUUAAGGAAAAAAAAAAUGACGAUCUCUCUUGUCCAUAGGAAAGCAACUUUUAAUCAUACUGUCAUUACUUUCUGUCUUAUUUUUUUCCAAAUGAAACAGAAAAAUUUUCUUUAGAAAUUAGGAAACAUAAUUGUUUUAGCAAAUUAGGUUUCAUGUAUUAGAUCUUUUUUUUUUUUUUUUUUUUGAGAUGGAGUCUCACUCUGUCGCCCAGGCUGGAGUACAGUGGGGUAAUCUCGGCUCACUACACUCUCUGCCUCCUGGGCUCAAGCUUAAAACUUACAACAUCUCAAGCAAUUCUCAUUUCUUAUACCUCAGCCUCCCUAGCAAUUGCAAUUGGGACUACAGGCGUGCACCACUGCACCCAGCUAAUUUUUGUAUUUUUAAUAUAGAUGAGGUUUCUCCAUGUUGGCCAGGCUGGUCUUGAACUCCUGGCCUCCAGUAAUCCAUCAACUUUGGCCUCCCAAAAUGCUGAGAUUACAGGCAUGAGCCACAGGGCCCAGCUUAUGUACUAGAUCACAAGAAAAUUUGUAUUUACUAUUUAUUAUGGUAAUUAGUGAACUUAUCCAAAAAAAUAUACUCCCCAGCCUCAAAAAAUAUAUUCUUGGUAUACAGGCUUAUAUUUUCCAGAUUAGAAAAUAGGUCCACUGUGCAAGCAAUGGGGUCCCAAGGCUAAAUGUUGAAGGUUUUUGGCACCAUGAUAUACCUUUCAUUCAAAGAUCAGGCAUACCAUUUAGAAAAGAAACAGCACCUUCAGUAUUCUAUAAAGAUCAGUAUGUAUGACAUUGAAAGAAACACACAAGUUCAAAGCUUGAAUUCCAUGUAGGGGGAAAAAAACCCAAACACUUUUCACCUUGUUUUUAGAAAGAAAUAUUAGUUUGUACAGAUCAAUUUUAAGAAAAACAAAAUCUGAAAUGUGAUAGAAAAAAGAGACAGUGUUAGAUCAGUAUGGUGACUAUGGUUUAUAAUAAUAUAUACUGCAAAAUAGCUAGAAGAGAAGAAUUUGAAUGGUUCUAGUAUAAAAAGAAGAUAAAUCUUUAAGGUGAUGGAAAUCUCAGGUACACUGAUUUGAUCUUUACAAGGUUUAUGAAUGUAUU
rnacentral:lncRNA from 10 species